GAGAUAGUAGAGCAGACCUUGCAUUAAAGUGGACACAUUUGCGCUUCAUAAUUUUCUAGUCACUGCAAUAUAUCAGUUGGCGAAUGAAAGGCCUUUGGUUGCAAGGGCGAGUUCGAGUAAUGGCUGUAAACACUCAUGUUCCAGUGAAUCAUCGAAUCUGGGAAGGAGAGCAGAGUAGUCCAGAUGCAUCUGCCCCAACAGCAGCGAGAUCACAAACAGUACAAAGCUGCCCUUCCUGGCUGGGCACAAACCGAGUACUGCAGUA
rnacentral:misc_RNA from 1 species